UAGGGAAUCUUGCGCAAUGGGCGAAAGCCUGACGCAGCAACGCCGCGUGGGGGAUGAAGGCCUUCGGGUUGUAAACUCCUUUCAGUGGGGACGAAAUUGACGGUACCCACAGAAGAAGCCCCGGCCAACUACGUGCCAGCAGCCGCGGUGAUACGUAGGGGGCGAGCGUUGUCCGGAUUUAUUGGGCGUAAAGAGCUCGUAGGCGGCUUGAUUAGUCGGGUGUGAAACCUCCAGGCUCAACCUGGAGACGCCACCCGAUACUGUCAUGGCUAGAGUUCGGUAGGGGACCACGGAAUUCCUGGUGUAGCGGUGAAAUGCGCAGAUAUCAGGAGGAACACCAGUAGCGAAGGCGGUGGUCUGGGCCGAUACUGACGCUGAGGAGCGAAAGCGUGGGGAGCGAACAGG
rnacentral:rRNA from 1 species